GAUGAACGCUAGCUACAGGCUUAACACAUGCAAGUCGAGGGGUAACGAGAGGAAAGCUUGCUUUCCUUGUCGACGACCGGCGCACGGGUGAGUAACGCGUAUCCAACCUGCCCCCAACUAGGGAAUAACCUUGCGAAAGUAAGACUAAUACCCUAUAAUUUCCUCAGAUGACAUCUGACGAGGAAUAAAGAUUUAUCGGUUGUGGAUGGGGAUGUGUCUGAUUAGGUUGUUGGCGGGGUAACGGCCCACCAAGGCAACGAUCAGUAGGGGUUCUGAUGGGAAGGUCCCCCACAUUGGAACUGAGACACGGUCCAAACUCCUACGGGAGGCAGCAGUGAGGAAUAUUGGUCAAUGGGCGGAAGCCUGAACCAGCCAAGUAGCGUGCAGGAUGACGGCCCUAUGGGUUGUAAACUGCUUUUAUACAGGAAUAAAGUUAGCCACGUGUGGUUAUUUGUAGGUACUGUAUGAAUAAGGACCGGCUAAUUCCGUGCCAGCAGCCGCCGUAA
rnacentral:rRNA from 1 species